rnacentral:lncRNA from 1 species
GGUGUGGCUCCCUCCCAGGUGACGAGCUGCUGCGCGUGCCCUGAGCUGACCGCACCGGUCAUGACACCGUGACGGCUGCGGCCCUUCCUUGAGAGGCACCCUGACCCCGUGUCCUGAGAGCAAGGCAGCGAUGGUCCUGCCUCCGUGGUCCUGCUACAGCUUGGUCUCGGCCAAUGGAUGCUGGUGGUUUGACAGAGGGCUGUUGGUCAAGGACAGGUGCGCCUCUGCUCUCCGGGCCAAAAUGACUUGCACCAGCCAGUGUGCUGGCUUUCCCGCCCUGCUGGAGCACCAGCAGGACCCCGCACACCCCCCAUCACUGCAGCCAGCCUCCCAGAGGGCAUGAUGGUGUUUACCAGGCCUCUGGAAGACCAUCCCGGCUCGGGGGCCGCGCCCCCUGGAGGCUGAGAAGAGAAGGAGCCUUUCCUGCCGCGGGUUACUGGCGAAUUUCUUCAGCACAUCAUCCACCGAUUCUGCUUAUUGCCUGGCUUGUUAUUGCCCAAAACAAAUGACCUGUAACUUACGUGUCCAACAACCGAGAGAUGGUUAUGGAAAGAACAGAACUGUAGUGCAUUAAGUUACUAUUUGAAAUGAUGUUUAUACAGCACUUAUAAUAACAUGAAAAAUUGUUUAUGAUCUAAUAGCAAUAGGAAACAAAGUAGUCUGUGCCAUGUUAUAUGAAGACUAUUACGGCAAAUGCAUUUCUUUAAAAAAUCAGAAUUCUAAUAUGAUACCAGAAGAAAGCAGCAAGAAAGCUAUCUUUGCAUGACGAGUUUAAGAUGCUUAUUCUAAACAAUGAAUUCUGGAACACUGAAAAGAAAUUAAAAAAAAUAAAUACAUAAUUUUAAAAAUACAAAAAUAAAUACAUUCAUUUUGUUUUUUUAAAAAAGAUGCUUAUUCUCCUU